rnacentral:rRNA from 1 species
GGCUAACUACGUGCCAGCAGCCGCGGUAAUACGUAGGUGGCAAGCGUUGUCCGGAAUUAUUGGGCGUAAAGGGCUCGCAGGCGGUUUCUUAAGUCUGAUGUGAAAGCCCCCGGCUCAACCGGGGAGGGUCAUUGGAAACUGGGGAACUUGAGUGCAGAAGAGGAGAGUGGAAUUCCACGUGUAGCGGGGAAAUGCGUAGAGAUGUGGAGGAACACCAGUGGCGAAGGCGACUCUCUGGUCUGUAACUGACGCUGAGGAGCGAAAGCGUGGGGAGCGAACAGGAUUAGAUACCCUGGUAG